rnacentral:rRNA from 1 species
UACGUAGGGGGCUAGCGUUAUCCGGAAUUACUGGGCGUAAAGGGUGCGUAGGUGGUUUCUUAAGUUCAGAGGUGAAAGGCUAACGGCUCAACCGUAGUAAGCCUUUGAAACUGGGAAACUUGAGUACAGGAGAGGAGAGUGGAAUUCCUAGUGUAGCGGUGAAAUGCGUAGAUAUUAGGAGGAACACCAGUUGCGAAGGCGGCUCUCUGGACUGUAACUGACACUGAGGCACGAAAGCGUGGGGAGCAAACAGGAUUAGGAUACCCUGGUAGUCCCUGAGCGGG